CGGCCUCACCUUCAUCCACUCCAGUCCCGUCCCGUUUCCUUGCUGCCCGGCCGUCUGCCCCUCAACCUCAUCGCGCAAUCUCCAUCACCGUCCGGCGUCCGCGAGCAGCGGUGCAGAGGGCGUCCUUACUCGUUCCGCGCGCCCCGCCCAGGUCAAUCUCCCCGUACCCUCAGCCUCGACUCUCUGAGUCUCCACGCGAUCGACUUCGCCCGCAGCCUGCGCCGACCCUCUCGAUCUCCAUCCAUCCCACGAGGGGAGCACCGGUGGGUGCCGUCGUCCUCCGGGGGUUCAUGUCCCUGUUGGUACACGAUGAACCCUGCAAGCCGAAGACAUUAUGAUUCUCUCGUCGCGCGAUAUGGUGACCAAGAUGCACUCGCCGACCGUUUCGGCGGCCAAAACGACGGCCCUGACGCCUGGUGGUCCAACCUGCGUGUGCGGAUGUCUCAGGAUCAUCUACUGAGGCACGAGGCGCGGAGGCGAGCCGCCACCUUGGAGGCUUUCGAGGAUAGAGAAAACUCGCAUGAUGGUGCCUUUGGUUGCGGUGACCGGGCCUCUGCUAAGGCCAUGGUAACUCUGCAUCAGCCCAAUUUGGGCGAGACCAGGGAGCAGGAUUGCGCCGUGUGCCUUGAGCCUUUCGAGGAAGGCAACACGCUUAGAAUGAUGCCAUGUUUCCAUUCCUUCCAUCAGCGCUGCAUCUUCAGUUGGCUCCGCAUUAGCCGCAUCUGCCCGGUGUGCCGUUUCACGCUGCCCUCCCAGGCUGAUUUUGAGUCGGAGAAGGCUGAGAAAGAACGAAUUACUUUAAUUGUAAUUGGUAGCUCAUCAUUGUUGCCGGGAUCAGGUACCCCCAGGCAAAUGGGUGGUUAUGUUGUAAUCCUCAGCGCCUUGCUGCUGAGCUCGUACCAGUUUCUCCUCCUAAUAAACAUGGCCGGCCCAGUGAAAAGUAUUGUUCAUUGGUAG
rnacentral:lncRNA from 1 species